UACGUAGGGUGCGAGCGUUGCCCGGAUUUAUUGGGCGUAAAGGGCGCGUAGGCGGCUCGGCACGUCCGUUGUGAAAUCGCCCGGCUCAACUGGGCGGGGUCAGCGGAUACGGCCGAGCUUGAGCAAGCUAGGGGGCAAUGGAAUUCCCGGUGUAGUGGUGGAAUGCGUAGAUAUCCGGAGGAACACCAGUGGCGAAGGCGACACGCUGGGCCGUACCUGACACUGAUGCGCGACAGCAUGGGGAGCAAACAGG
rnacentral:rRNA from 1 species